AGUGGAUGCCUGUUCCUCCCUGCUACAGGUGGAAUUGUGCCCCCGUCUUGAAGCCCCCAGUACCUCAAAAUGUGACUAUACUUGGAGAUAGAACCUUUUAAAAGGUCAUGGAAGUAAAAUGAGGUCAUUUGGAUGGGCCCCAGUCCAACAGGACUCAUGUCCUUUAAGAAGAGAUUAGGGCACAGAUACACACAGCAGAAAGACCACGUGAGGACACAGCCACAGUACAGCCACCUCCUAGCCAAAGGACGACCUCAGAAUACACCAGCCCUGCCGACACCUCAAUCCUGGACUUUCAGCCUCCACGACUAUGAGAAGCUCUGAGGCUCACAGAAGAAAUACACAGUUGGUGCCGGUGCAGUGACUCUGGGGCCACCAAAGGGUACAUCAGGCCCCAUCAGAUCUAGCCAGCGACCUGCAGCCCCCGACAAGCCUUCCUGAGCUUCCACCCCGGCUGCAGCCUUCUCCCCAUGUGCCCACGUACUUGGGCUGCUACUGCUGCCUGGGUCUGUCCGCUUGUCAGUCAGUGAAGUUUCCCCAAUCUGUUUAUAUUAGUUAUGCUUAUCAUAAUGGCAUUGUGUAAUUGAGUAUACACAAAAUGAUAAAAUAUGAAUAUGAAAGUGAUUUCUAUGCACACUCAUUAAAUGCCUUGAAAAGACUCAUUAAAGGUGAAUUGCUUUACAAAA